UUCAGUUACGUGAAGAGAAUAUUUGUUUGAAUAUUUUCGAGCUAAAAAGAAAAGGAUAAGCGAGUAUUAGCAUCAUCGCAGCUAGUGUUAGCUGCGCUGUGCUUAGUUUACCUUCCUUUCCGACACUCACUAUAAGCAAAUAGACACAUAAAUGAACAGAUAGACGGCCUUUUAGUCGCAAAUAAGUUAGUGCAAGGUGAGUAUGUGGUGAGUCACCUCGGCUGUUGGAGAGUGUGAGGGAGGUCGGUUAGCUAACUUGGCUAGUGAACGCUACAGUCGCAGCGGGAGGAAAGUUGGCCGCGAAGCACCGUUAUCAGCUGCUGAGAUUUACUUAGCGCUCACAAUUCCUCGGCGUCAAGGAAAACGCAUCUCUUUCCACGCGAGGCAGGUUUGCUCAACACUGGGCGUCCGAGGAAAGCUUUUAUUCAAGGGCUUAAACUGCGUGUGUGGAUUGUAACGGUGCAGUGGCUCACUUGAAAUAAUCCCGCAUGUUUUUUUUCUGGCGUCGACUUGGAAAACUUUGGAAAAAAUUACUAACGCGCAAUUUACAACAGCAUUUAUUUUGUUGAUAUAAACAAAAACAAAUUGAGGAGGAUUUUUUUUCGGAUAAGCGUCAUUCCUGAGCCUCACAGCUGGAAGCCCGGAUUCAUUUACCAUUGUUUUGCUUGCUUAUUUGUUCUUCGAACUACUCGUUUAAAAACUACUUUUGCCGCCAAAAGACGCACUGGUUACGGUUAAGGCGUUUAUCCCCGCCGCCGGAUCAUCCCAUGAGCCCACAAAGAGUGAACUUACUUGGAAAAGAAACGUACUCCAGCUCGGCUCCAUUUCCACACUUAGUAAUUCUGGAGGAAACCUAGUGGAAGCCUACAACAAAGCAACCAAACAUGGCAGCUGAAACAACUUCCGGUAACCUUAGGGGCUGUACCAUUUUACCAAUAACACGGGGGUUACAUCCUUGUGUGUUCCAUAAACGCGUAUUGUCUCCAAACUGACUUCAGACCAAUGAUUUAUAAUGAUUUACCGUACAAACUAAUAUUUAGCAGUAAAUCGCCACACAGAUUUUUUUUCUCACCGUACUUCUUGCCUAAUUAAGCAUGUUUUCUAAACACCCUCGUGGAAUCGUUUUUGAUGAUUCUUCGAGAGACAUGUUUUUUUUAUUUAUCGAGUAUUCUCUCUGUCUCUCUGCUCCAUAGGUGCUUCACGACUCCGUCAUUAAUGGAUGUGUUAUAUUAAAAAUAUGUAUUUCUCCUUUCAAUCAAUGAAUGAGUUUCUUUCUAAAAAGAAACCGUGUGGAUAGUAGCUUGUUUUCAUUCAUAGAGAGGGAAUGAAUGGACAUCCUUGGUUUAUAUCGCCUCUAGUGGACCAAAAUAUCAAUUACUGCACAGCAAAUUGAGGAGUGUUAAUUUUUUGGUGUUGAUGAGAAUCUUGAAGUUGGAGUGUCAAUCUUGCAAUAUUUGGAGUUGAUCUAACACUGCAUUUUCUUAAAAAUGUUAAAUUUAACACUGGAUCAUGAUAGUGUUGUAGUUAAAAUGGAGUGUUGAAAAUGUUCAAAUCUUGUUAGUGUCACAAUAAAGACAUUCAACACUUCCACACCCCAUUUAACACUUAACAGUGUUCACGUGUCUUAAGCUCCGCCCACGGACAUUUCAUUUAGACUCCACCCCUCACUUCACGUUGCUGAUGGAAGAAGUUGAUAAUUAGGAAUCAUUUUGCAUCAGUCGUUAUAUUUUCUAUUUAGUGUUGCUGUGAGCUGAAUCGGCACUGCCUGUGCAACAUUUGGCAAAGAGGAGCCCCCACACGUAGGCCUGCUGGCCCCCAGCAAAGGACUUGAUAUGCUGUACAAGAUACAAGAUAUCAAGAAAACCUUUGCUUGAGUCUUACAUGAAUGUGGCAUAAGCCCUGCAACUGUGGCUUUUCUUGAGUCUUACAUGAAUGUGAGGUGGAUGGAGAUGUCUUUGAUGAGCUUGUCAAGUCAGGUGUUUUGACUUUCAGGGUCCUUUUAUCAGUGACAGGUAAGGAUGUGAAAACGUUUGAAAAUGCAUGAGGUGGUUUAGAUAUCACAGACAGUGUGGACCCAUCAGGUACCUUGGUUUUGUCCAAAUGAGAUAUUGUUGUCAUGAUCUUUGAGGCCUCAAAAUGUAUUUUUGGUCUCACUUUACAAUAAGGUACACAAAAAUACAGUAGUUACUGAGGAACUAAUUACUAAAGCACAAAUUUACAGGAGUAGAGGAUCUAAUGAAGAACUAAAAAGGAACCAAUGAGCAGAGUAGUUACUGAGGAACUAAAACACAAUAUGGACAAUAUACAUUUAGAGUAGUUACUAAGAAACUAAUGAAGAACUAAUGAGUAGUGGUUAGGGUUAGAUAGGUUUGUUCCUCAUCCUGCACGACUGUAAUUUUGUGUACCUUAUUGUAAAGUGAGACAGUAUUUUCAUUUGAUAUUCAAUUUUUAGCCCCUUUUCCAUAGGUUGAAAUGCCCCAAAAUUAUUUUUUUGGUUUUAGUAGUAUUUAGUGUUUUGUACUGUUUUGUAGAGUAAGAGAUUCAUUUGACUGGAGAUGAAGCAUCCUCCACUAUCCCCAGCUUCACCCCAGUUAUCGCCAGUUGGUGGCGAUAACGGGUUUGACAAUUUAUCCUUCAGCCCACAAGAAAGAGGAACCCAACAGAACCAAUGGAUCAGGAUGAAUCAAGACAGAAAGUCGGUGGUGUUUCGAGGGCCAAUCCGAAAGAUACAUGUAUGAUGGAGCUGCCUGGGUCACUUCCCCCUUUCCAUUAGAACAGUCAUUCCAGACUGUCAUCAACUGCAGUAAGACCAUGUAGUGUGGGAAGGGUUCUAUCUGUGAUCAUUAACUAUGACGUGUUUUGAAAGGAGGGUUCCACCAUCAUGUGUGACGACAAAUUACGCCCUUUUGUGACUUGUUUUCCAUACCUCAAAGAUCCAUUCUCCAAACCUGGAUAUGUAAGAGUCUUUUCAAUGUAAAACCCAAAGUACUGUUUUUGUUUUUCCUUUAGGUGUGUAGUUUGCAUUAAAAUCUUGUUUCGAAUAUGUUCAUAGGAUGCUUAGCUUAGCGGCAGUGGCUCAGGAGGUAGAGCAGGUCGUCCAGAAAUCGUAAGGUUGGUUGAUCCUUGCUCCCUCCCCCUAGUCACUGUUGUGUCCUACACUUCUCCUGGCUCUCAAAGUUGUUCCAAGACUGUUUCUUCACGAUGGUCCAAAAACCAGAGGAGAACAUCUGUUAACUGGUCAACAGCUGUUUGAUGAGGAGUGCAGGGAGGCACUACCUACAAUAAGACAUUCAACCGAUGAAUCCGUGGUCGAAGAAGAUGAGAGCAACUUUCCAGUAUCGACAGAAUAUGAUCCAAGCACAAGAUGUAUACAAGAUACAAGAUACAAGAGAGUUUCAUUGUCAUGUGCAUAGUAAAACAGCAGUUAUACCAUGCAAUGAAAAUCUUAUUCUGUUCAUUUCAUCGUCUGUCCUCAAUGUGUUCCCUCACUUCCUUGAUGUUCCUGGAUUGGUAAGGAAAUCUUUAGUAUUUGGACGAGUUCAGUAUUGGAUUACCCAUUACGUCAGCCAUUUGUAAACCUGUAGGCCUACAGUAUAUGAAAUAUUCAUGUCUUGUUUCUAGAUUGACCAGGAUUUCUCAAUGAUGUUUGCUGAUGAAUUAUCUCAGAGGUUCCUGGCUAAGUGGUCAACUGUCUUCAAAGCAAAAGUCAUUGCAGACUGCAAGACUCUCCGGCAAAAGCAGAACAUUGAUGAGUUGCUGUCAGGAACUGAACCUCAACCCGAUGUGGCUGGGGCAGUGAUACAUCCUCCAUCCUUCUACUCCUGCAUCUGCUCCCUCUGACUUCUAGAGGCCAUGAAAAAAACAGCAAAGAUCAGUUUGUCAAGCAACCAACCAUCUUCUCAGACAUCUUAAGGCAUGCAAAGGUCAAUUUUUACAUAUCAAAUAUGAUUUCUGUCUAAAAGCAUUCAUUUUAGGUUGCAGAUGUUCUUGAAUUGGCUAAUUGUGUUGAUUCAAUGUCGUAAUAAGGUGUGCUAAACGCCUGAGAAAUGGAAACAAUGCAAACGGGUUUUAAUUGUUGUUGUUGUUCAAGAUUCAAGAUUCAAGAGUUUUAUUGUCAUGUGCAUGGUAAAACAGCAGUUAUACCAUGCAAUGAAAAUCUUAUUCUGUUCAUACUCCCAAGAAAAGAAAGGAAACACAAGAAAGAAUAAGAACAUAAGAAACAUAAACACAUAAACAUAUAUACCAAUAAAUUAAGCAACAACAACAGAAAAGACAUUAAUACAAGCAAAUAAUACAAAUAAAUAAAUAAAUAAAGUGCUAUGAGUGUGUGCGUGUGUUGCGUGCGGCGUGUGCGAGUGCUUCGUUGAGAAGCCUGAUGGCCUGUGGGUAAAAGCUGUUUGCCAGCCUUGUGGUCCUGGACUUCAAACUCCUGUAGCGUCUGCCUGACGGUAGGAGUGUGAAUAAUGAGUGUUGUGGAUGUGUGCUGUCCUUGAUGAGGUUGUGUGUUCUGCGUAGGACUCUAGUUUUAUAAAUGUCUUGCAGUGAGGGGAGGGCUGCCCCAACAAUGUUCUGUGAGGUCUUGAUCACCCGCUGGAGUGCCUUCCUAUCACGUGUUGUACAGUUACCGUACCAAACAGUGAUGGAGGCGGUAAGGACACUUUCCAUAGUGCAUCUGUAGAAGCAACUCAGGAUUGUGGUGGACAUGCCAAAUUUCCUCAGUCUUCUCAGGAAGUACAGUCUCCUUUGGGACUUCUUCAGAAUUUGUUGGGUGUUGUGAGACCAGGUGAGGUCCUCGCUGAUGUGUGUGCCAAGGAACUUGAAGGUUUUCACCCUCUCCACCUCAGUCUCAUCAAUAAACAGGGGUCUAUGCGGCUCCUUUUCCCUUGUUCUUGUUGUUGUUGUUGUUGUUGUUGCUGUUGCCCCUUUUCACCCACAGGAAGGAGCCAGUGUGACCCCCUUCCAAGACUGUUGACACAAGACAAGCAUUUCUCCUCUGCAUCAGUGAGCGAAGGUGACAUCCAGAGGUUCUACAUUAUUAUUGACCAAAAGCCGGUUCCAUGCAAGGCACAUACAUUUAUUGCAGCUUUUGAUGAACUGUUCAAAGCUCACUAUGUCUUCAGUCUCCCGUAUGGUUAAAAAUGGAUAAGAGCAAAGAUUUGGGUCUGAAUGCUUCCCAGUCAUGGUGUCUUCUAUGUAACACUCCACUUAUAUUUGGUGAUGUCAUUGAAAGGAAGAAUGAUCACUGGAACUUCCUCCUCCUUUUGAUGCAGAUUGUCAACAUACCUGCAGUGUUCUCCUACACCAUAACUGAUGGAAUGAUGCUUUACUUGAAACAUCUGAUAAGUGACCACCACACUCGGUACAAAGCAUUGCUUCCUGGUAAGAAGUUGAUUCCCAAGCAUACAAAACAUUGGCCCUCUUAUCCAUACGUGGUGCAAGUGUUUUGAAGCCAAACACAAUUCUUUCAAAAGGUGUGGUUAAAAUUUUCAAAAAUCUCAGUCGUUUGUCAUGGCCUUUCACUAUGAAAAUGAUUAUUUUAGAAGAUUUGCAUUUGGCCCUACAACAUGAAAAACAAUCUGCAACUUCAAAGGAGGGGAGGAGCGUGGUCAGGCAUGAUGUCUGCAAGCAUCUUCCAAGUGUGUCAAGUAUCAACUGGGUGAGACGUUACAGUAUAGAGUACCAUGUUGGUGUGUUCAUAUGUACUGGAUGUAGCUUUGAUCUACCUGUGUUCAAGAAGAUCUGUGAUAUACUAAAACUCAAAGAAUGUGCUUUCAUAAUCACCUGUAAUGUAGAAACGAUGUACUAUGAGGACCUGUUUAACGCGUACUGCAUAGAAGACCAAAUGCUUGAGUUUUCUGUCAUGUGUUUACAUGAACUGACUCAUUUCAGACCAUUUGACAAGCAGUGCUCUAAUGACAAGUGUCAAGGAGCAUACAUACUGUAGUG